rnacentral:lncRNA from 1 species
GCUGGUUGUUGCAGAAUUUGGCAUCAGAUAUGGUAGGUUUGGAAAAAAUAUUGAAAAAAACUUUAUCUCUCCAUUUGCAGAUGAGCAUGAAGCGUCAUGAAAAUGUAAAAUUAUACCAAAUGUGAUCAUCCAAAAGCUGACUGAAUGCCCUGUUACUCAGCUCCUGUGAGCUGCUUGGCACCUUGCUGUUUUUAAGAAAUUUUAACUCCUAACAUAGAUAAUAUAUUUUGAGUUAUGCAUCUCUCCACCCAUCCAUCGUUCAUCCACCUGUCAUCUGUCCAUCUAGCCAUCUUUUAUUAAAACUCUCUUUCUGUAUUUUUGUAUUUUGAAGCCAGUCGAUGUUAUUUGUAAUUAAGCUAUAGUCUGUUUUCCCAAUUUUUCAAUUUCUUUAAUGUCACUAAAACCUACAUCUGGCUUAUGUGUAGAAAUAAAGCAGAGAGGCUAAGGGGUAUCCAAGCAUUUCAGAGAGAUACUCUUUGGUUUUUUGAAGGGUUUUGUCAUUCUUGGAAAAAAAUCAUUUUAAAAAUAGAUCUUUUUAAAAAAAUACAGGAAACAUCACACAAUGUGCACUUAUGAAAUUAAAGGACAUUGUGUGCUAAGCAUAUUUUCUUUUAAAAUUCAUGAGAACUUUAAUGUAAAAAAGUGGAUGAUAUUUAGAAAUAUCAGCCUUUGCAGAACCCUAAUUAGUGUAUUUGCUGAGAGAUAUUCCCUUUUUCCAGUUCCUUUUGACACUGGCCUCAAACUUCUGAGCAUCCCUUUUUUUUUUAAAUUGAGGUAUAAUUCGCCUAUAACAUUAUAUUAGUUUCAGGUGUACAACAUAAUGAUUCUAUGUUUGUAUAUAUUGAGAAAUAAUCACCACAGUAAGUCUAGUUAACAUCCACCACCAUACAUAUUUACAAUUUUUUUUCUUGCGUUAAUCCAAUAUGUUGAUUUCAACAUUGAAGGAGUUGUGAGGGACAAAUGGAGAGGCAAUUCCUAACUUAAAUUUGCAGAGCAGGGGGUUUAUUUGAUUUUACUUAUUUUCUAAGCUUUAUUCUAUUUUUAAGCUAAUAAAUUUUAUUUUUUAGAAGAGUUUUAGGUUUGUAGAAAAAUUGAGCAGAAUAUACAGAGAAUUCCAACAUACCCUCUUCCCUUUAUGCGUGCACAGCAUCCUCUAUUUAUUAACAUCUUGCCUUAGUGUAGUAGAAGGUUAUAAAUGAUGAACCAAUAUUGCUACAUUAUUAUUAACUAAAGCCCGUAGUUUACACUAGGGUUAUUCUUUCUAUUGUCUCUUCAGUGGGUUCUGGCAAAUGGAUGAUGACAUCUAUCCAGCAUCACAGUAUUAUACAGAAUAGUUUCAAUGUCCUAAAAAUAUCUUAUUCUCAAUUUUUCAUCCUUUCCUUCCUUCUCAAGACCCCAGUGACCACUAUCUAUUGUUCUCUCUAUAGUUUUGCUUUUUGUUUGUUUUAGAUUUUUAAUCUAUAGAAAAGUGCCCAUGCAGUUGAAGAGUGUUAUUGGAAAGUUAAAUGGGAUUAUUUCAUUCCAUGUUGGUAAAUCGAUGGAAUAGCCUUUCCCAGUGUAGGAGAACAUGAAGCAUACAGUGUCAGCAUCAGUCCGCUUUCCUUCAUUUCACUGUGUUGGUUGGGAAGGGACACUGCCUUCUCGUUCAGCCAGACCUUGGGCUCUGUGCUCAUUGUUGAGAUUGUGCCAACAUGGCAGAUGGAAAUCCUGGCUAUUCCACAAGCCCUGCUGGUUGGGGGUCUGUUGUUGGGGCUGCCACUUAGCCAUGGCGUAUUGAAAUUACAUGUGACUCAUGAACGCGGUCGGGAUAAAUAUGCUGAAGCAAAAUGUUGAUGGCUUUGUGUUUAAUACCCGCCUCUUUUGAUCGUAGUUCUGGAGAAGACAGGGAUUUAGAAUGCAGCUUCUUUCUUUUUUAUGAUUGAAUUGGAAUUCACCUCAACAUGUAAUUGUAAUUAACCAUUUGAAAGGGUACAAUUCAGUGGCACUUCGUACACUCACAAUGUUGUGCAACCUUCACUUCUAUCUAGUUCAAAAUAUUUUCAUCACCCCAAAAGAAGACUUCAUACCUACUGAUCAGUCACUCUCCAAUUCCUCUUCCUCCAGCCCCUGGCAGCCACUAAUCGGCUUUCUGCUUUUAUGGAUGUACCUGCAGAAUGCAGUCUCUUUUCUUAACCAUUAACCAUCUAUUAUGUUGUGAGAUGUAACCUUACGUGUUAUGAGAUGAUUCCCACUUUCCCUGUCUGGUACUCAGUGUAUAGAUGAUAAAAAUCAAUAGAACUUACCUGGUAGAUACUUGUGUUAGCAAAUAGCUUAUAGGGCUAGAGAUUUGAAAGUAACUAAAUUUGUAAGCAUACAUAGUCAAGUCACCAUAGAACAUUCGUAGAAGGGGCAGGCGUGGAAACUGGUGUAAAGGAGAAGCGUGUUUGAUUGACAUACUUCAUUCAAUUAUUCUCCUUGAACCAAGCCCACGACAGUUAUUCUAAAAGGGGAGCUUGGUUGAGAGCUGCCUGACAGCCUGCUUGAGAUGUCUGUCUCACCACCAACAGGGAAAGCUGCAACUCUCCUCCCUUAUUAUGCAUCACAUGAUCCUGUCCUCAACAUCUGACCUUCAGGCACAGCUGGAAGGAUCAGGAUGAACACCUGACCCUAUCACGAGCAUUCCUUGAAUGGACAGUGACUCAUGACUUGUGUGGCCUUUCUAGAAAUGACAAGCCAGGCCAAACAGAGGCUUCCUCUUGGGGAUUUGAAUAAAGAUUGAAGGAAAUCUACAUUCCGCAAAGGCAUGAAAAGCUGAAGAAAUGCUGUUUGGUAGAGUAGUGCAAUGACAAGUCCAAGAAGCGAUCAAGAAGCCAAGAUUGAGACAGCAGAAGCAUCUGGUCAACCUGAAUCCAGAGGGCGCCAUUUACAUGGGCUGAGCAUGGGGCCUCUGCUGGAGAUGCAUGCUGCAUAAACUUGCAAGGUGUUUUUAGGGAGAUAAAAGAAGAUGAAAAUGGAGCUAACCUGAGAGAGGAGAGGAGCUACAUGGUUUCUGAGAGAGAGUUGGAGAGAGCAGUUGUUUCCUGGAGCAACUUUCGUCCCUGACGUGACUCGGUUGUACUUUCUGUCAAACCCAGAUAUUCCCAGUCCUUGAAUUCCUAGGAGAGCUCAACCUUCUUGUCCAAUACAACAAUCUUCCAGCUUCCUUCCCUUAAGAGCUUGAAUCACUCUUGGUUUCUCGAAAGAAAGAGGUUGUGAGAACAGGAGGACAAGAAUGACAGGACCCUGAAGGAGAAGAACUCGUGUUGGCUGAACACUCAUCGACACUCGGGUACCGUGUGAGGUACUUUCAUGGGCAGUAUCUCAUUUUAUCCCCGUGCAUUUAGGAGGCAGAAAUUGAGGCGACCUAACUGGUUCAAAAUCACCUUGUCAUGGUGGAGGGGACUUUUAGCCCAUUCUUUCUGAAUCCAAAACCUCCCUCUGAAUCUUCUUGUUCAGUCUGUAAGCAUCCUGAUCUCCAGUUUAGGAAAAUGGUUGUUUGAUAGAGAAUAAGAUGGUUUUUUCUCCUUACGAUCACUUCCUUUCUACAGAAGGGGGCAUCGUGACUAAUUGAAAACAUCAGUUUUACUUUAUUUUUUGUUGUAGUACAAAAGGAAGACACAGGUGAUUUUAAAACAGAAGUGUGUGAAUAAAAUAGACUCAUCCCCUGUUAGGGUCUUUAUGUCAAUGACCCGUUUUCCCAUUUAGGACUUGCAGUGAGUUGAAUGGUGGCCCAUCAAAAGACAUGACCACAUCCCUGUGAACGUGACCAUAUUUGGGAAGAGUCUUUGCAAAUGUAAUUAGGUGAAGAAUCUUGAGAUGAGAAUAUCUGGGAUGAGGGUGGUCCUAAAUCCAAUGACAACUGUCCUUAUAUGAUACAGAAGAGAAAAGACACAGACACAGAGGAGAAGCCAUGUGAAGGCCGAGGCAGAGAUGGAAAGGAUGUGGCCACAAGCCAAGGGACACUUGGAGCCCGCAGAAGCUGGAAGAGGCAGAAAGGCACCCCCCUGGAGCCUCGGGAGGGAGAGCAGCCCUGCAUCACCUUUAUCUCAGACUUCCGGUCUCCAGGACUGAGAGAGGGGAUAAAUUCCUGCGGUUUGAAGCCCCCCAGUUUGUGAUACUUUGUUAGACCUGCCAUGGGAAACUCACGCAGGGCUCUUCCUCUAUUUUUCUGUGCUUUCGUUAUUUAUGGGACCUGUGUACAAUGUUUUUAUGUUUAAUACAUGGGCUGUAUUGAUUCCUGAUCUGGAAAAUCUCUUAAAAAAUAAGAGAGAACUUAAUAAGAAAAAAUUAAACCACCCAUAUCUCACUAUCCAAUUUUAUCAGAAUAAAAUAAGGAUGAAAUGUCAUUAAGACUGAUGACACAACAUUUUCAUAUUUCAAGUUCCACUUAUAAAAGCGCUCCCCCAACACAAUCUCCCCAUACCCACCUUCCCACCAUGAUCAUAGUUAUCAGAAGUUGAGAGAGAGAAAUCUUUAUUGAUCUCUAAAAAUUACUGGAUUGAGUGAUUCUCAUGCUUCACUACCUUGUAAGUUUUUAGUAUUGUUUUCCAAACUUUUCAGAUAAAGAAUCUGUGCCUCAAAGGGAUUGUUUCUUGACCAAGGUCACCCAGCUCAUGCAGGACAGACGUGGUAUUGCUUUAUUGUAAACAUGCAGCAAUCCUCUGGGGACCCUGUUAGAAUCACAAACUUGUGGGGUACACUCAGCCCAGAAACCCACCAGGGUAGGGAUGGACUACAAGAAUCCAUGAUUUUGACUUGCAAGUCAACUAAUGAAAGGCAAUUGUUCUCAACCACAUUUGGAGAUGUGAGGAGGAGAUUCCACGAGUCUCGUUGUUGGAGAAAUCGUUCCCCAAGUUCAGAGAAGGGAUGGAUGGGUGGGCUCCCCCUCUUUCUGUUCCUUUCUUGGUGCCAGCAAUGCAGGGUACUGGGAACAACCACUGAAGUAUUCCUUAUGGAAUAUUUGUACAGUUCCCAAAACUGGAGUGAGAGGAAACACGUUUGCUUGGAGAGAAAGGUCUAAGUCUUGCAAGACCGUACAGAUCUGGAGGGGUUUAGUGCUGAAUUUUUGAGUCUGAGGGAGUAAGAUGUCACCAUAUUUGGGGUCCUCCAUUUGCAGAAGCCCCUGAGGCUGGGAGUGCUUUGGGAUUGAGAUUAUCCAGGUAGAGGCAGUCUUCACGGUACCAACGGACUGCUGCCGACUCUCUUCCGUCAUAGACUCUUCUAGAUUAAUGGUUUAUAAAGAAGGGGCUGUGUUCCCCCAGGGAGGAAGUAAGAUGAUCUCGUUGGGUAUGGAAAAAUAUGAGAACUUCUACAUAUAUGUAUUUUAUUUACUAAACAGGAAAAAAUAAGCCUUGCUAAUAUGUAGUCUAUUGACAAUUGUACUUGUAUACAUAUCGAGCAUGUGCUGAAAAGUUUUAUAAUAUUGAGCAUAAUCAAAAAACAUGACCACGAUUGCUGUAGACUUUAGACUUCAUCUACUCACUUCCUCUUUCCGUCUCUCACAAAGCAGUUGAGAUUUCUCAUUUUUGGUUAAUGUCCUGCCCACACCCACACCCUUUUUUCAGUGUGUAGGAUUUCUGUACUUCCAUGUUUUUAUUUCACUGAGGAUUUUUGGAGAAAUGAGAGUCAAACUGAUAGCCCAUCCUGACCCAUUUCUGCGUCUUCUUUACAACCAGAGAACACAUGUCAAUUUUGGAAUGGUGAUCUGGUGUUCUAGGUGCAGGUGGGUGUGCUUGUGUGUGUGAAUGUGGUGUGCAUGUGAGUAGGCUGUGUGUCUGGGUGUAUUCAAGUGCACAUGUACAUGGUAUGUAUGUUUGCAUGUGUAUGUGUGUGUGCGUGCACUGUGUAGUGUGUGCAUGUGCAAUAUGUGGGCAUGUGUGGUGUAUAUUGACUGUGUAUGUGCAUCUGUGGUGUGUGUUGUGUGCUUAUGUGUAAAUGUGGGGUGUUUAGUGUGUGCAUGUAUAUGUGUGGUCUGUAUAGGCAUAUGCACGUGUGGGGUAUGUGUGCAUGCUUACAUGCAUGGUGUGGAUGCCUAUGUGAUGUGUUUGCGUGCACACGUGCAAUGUGUGUUUAGCAUGUAAACUGGUAUAUGUGCAUGUAUAGUGUAUACAUGUAUGUAUGCACAUGUGUGAUGUGUGUUUGGUGUGCAUGUUUGUGCGUGGAUGUGUAUGUGUCAGUAGGAGGCUGAUGCUACAUGCACGAGGGAAUUAAAAUCCAUUCAAUCCAGUUACUUCAGUCCAGUGUAAGCCUAGACACAAUCCCUUCAGGGGAAAUACUGUCAUUAUGAUUUCCCCUCCAUCUCUCCUCCCUGAGUGACAUCUGGGCUCUGAAGGGGGCUUCUGUGCCUUCCAGGAAGUGGAGCAAAGGGUCCAGGUUGCCAGGUGCUGUGCUCUGCUGUCUCAGGUCUUUUAGUCUAUGUUCCAGGAUGUCCUGGGAGCUGCUGGCACUCGUGGCUGAUGUCCAUGGCUGGCGAGCUCUGUGGUCUGGCCAAGGGCAGAUGGUGCUUCUGGCUGCAAUUGUACCAGAGUAGCACCCUCCAGUGAGUCGCUGCAGUAUCUUCCACCCCAUCCUAAUGCAAUCUGUCCUGUCCCGUGACCUGGCUAUGGGGUCAUGUUGUUCCCCCAUCAGGGGCCUCAGUCUCUUCCAGUGGCUUGCCCUUCACCAUCUGCACCCUUCAUGAAGAGCACAAAUGAGGCUCGGAUUGGGGCAGGUGGGGGGGGGGGGGCAACUGUACCCUUUCUGUGCCAAGCAAAUGUGACCAUUCAAGAACAGACGGGAGCUGUGAAUAAACUCAACCCCAGUGCUUCUCUCUGGGAGCCGAAGACCCGAUUGCUGCUUUCAAGGUGUCCACCGCAUGGGAGAUUUCCUCCUCUUUGCAGAACCAGUCUCUGUAGGAGCCAGAGCAUCACGGACAGAAAGACAUCUCAUCCUGGAGAGAAAAAUGAUCCAAGGUUGUAGAAUGGAGAAAGGAGAGGUAAGAGCAGCUGUUGUAAGAGAGAUGUUGCAAAGAAGAGUCACCCCCCCUUUGCUGACCAACGAGGUUCAAGGAGAGAGGCGAGCAUCCGUCAGUGGUAUCAUUCGUCCUGAGGGUGCUGACCUGCUGGGAGAGGCCAAAGGAUGGGCUGGGCUGAUGGAAUUGCUUCCAGCACAAGCCAGGGAAACUUUGCUCCGGAAUGGUUCCUCUAAUGGAGUUAAAAUGGGUUGUCCAUUUGUCCAUUUGCAUUUUCUCAUCUUGCCACAGCAUUUAAGCCUGGUUUGGAAUCCAAAAGUAAUCUUUUGCUUUUUCCUUAAGUCACCUUUCAAUAUUCUCUCCAUUAUAGGAAAAAACAGAAAGACUGAUGCCAAGUCGGAUGGGAAGAACCGGUGAGUUAUCAUAUCUGGGGAUUUCCAAGGGCCUGGCUAGGUAUGCCUGCUGCUUCGCCCACCCCUGCAUGGGCUCAGAUUUCAUAAGUAUUUUAAGCAGCAGAGCCCGUGCACAGGCCUAUGCUCCCUUUCCUGGGAUUUACUCUAAUUGCUCAACAUGAAACACUUAGAGCUGGAAUUUCAGUUGCUGAUAAUGAGCAGGGCAUUGUCCUGGAAAAAUUGUGGUCACUAAUGCAGAAGCAAAAGAGAAUACUGGAGUCCUUGAGAGUCUCCAGAAGUUUCCUCAUUAAGAAUUUAAAUAGAUUUACGGUAAAGCUGUGGGGGAAGAGGCAGAAACAUCUGCUUUGAAAAUGAAACGGAAGAUGUAACUCAGUAUUUGGGAAAAAGGGGAUAUAAAUGAGAUUUCAUUGUUACAUAUCACCUGCAAGCUCUCAAUAAACUGUUAGAAAUGGCUGCAUUGCUCUGGUUUAGGUGUCAGCAAAGCAUGGAUCGUGGGCCAAAUCUGGCCCACUGUGUGCUUUUAUAAAUAAAGUUUUAUUGGAAGUUGGCCGCAUGCAUUCGUUUAUCGGUACUAUCUAUGGCUGUUUCCUGCUACAACAGAAUUGAGUAUUUUCAAAGGAAAUUAUGUGACCCACAAAGCCCCAAGUCUUUACUCUUUGGCCCUUUACAGAAAACAUUUGCCAACUCCUCCGUUUGAUUAACUUGGCUGCCUUUUGGACAGAAUCCUCGUGUGCCCAUGCCUUUUAGACAUCUAAAAUCAUCACUUGGGAAAAUGUUGCUUUUUAUAUGUAAAGUUUGAAUAGUUAUUCUCUUUGUACUAUUCUUAUUUCCUGGGAAUGUAUCAUUAUUGUUUUAAGAUGACCAAAGUAAAAACCACAAUGAGUGAUUUAACAAGCUGAGGAGCCCACAUUUUUUUUUUCUAGCUGAUGUUUGCGUUACUCCACCUAAAUUAGUGUUUUUCUAAGAAAGACUGGCUGAAAGUUUCACAGAGGAUUUUAUGUGUAAUCCUCAAAUAUUUUGAAUUUAAUACUUCAUUUUUUGAUUAACCACUAGAUUACAUUUUUCAUUGAACGGCGAAUGCCAACAAAAAAUGAUGGGCAAACAUGGCUUCUAAAAAUGGUCUGGCAAAAGUCACUGAAGAAAUGAGAAAUUCAGAGGGACGAGGACGACACAUUUUGCCAGAUCUAGAAGGAACUCAAAUCUUAUGGCUUUUGAAUGUCAACCUGAUGCGGGGUCGGUGAGCCGAGGAGUCGAAAGAAAGAUUUCUUGGACUCUCAAGAUCUGGCAGCAGUGCUCUUUUAUUUAGAGAAUAGUGUAGCAUGGGGACAGCACCCAUGGGCAGGCAGAGCUGCUGCUGCUGCCCCCGCUGGCAUGGGGACAGGACCCAUGGGCAGGCAGAGCUGGUGCAUGGGGACAGGACCCACGGGCAGUCAGAGCUCCUGCUGCUGCCCCGAGUUGAGGGUUAGGGCUAAUUUUAUAAGGCAUGGGUAUGUGAGUCAUUUCUUUACAGGACAAAGGAAAGAACAUGGAAAAAAGUUAAAAUGGUAUCAGUGCAGGUGGGUCUGGUCGUUGGGUGAUCCCAUGACUUUUUGACAAGAAUCAAAUUGGAUUAAGUAAAGGUCAGAAGCCACCACCCUAAAUCAGUUACAUGAGAUUGCCAGACAGUAACCAACUUAAGUUCCUGCCUCUGGCAUUAAGAGUUUCUAGAGAUAAGGCCAUCCCCCUUCUCCCUGGCACAGAGAGGGAGGCAUCUUCACAGAUAGAGGUUUUCCUUAGAAAUGUAAAUCUUUCCCAAGAAAGGGGCAAGCAAAUUCCACUGCUUGGAGCCUGCUUCUCAUCUGUAGUUUUAAAAGUAACCAGCCUAAAAAUCCUCAUCAAAACCAAAUGGCAUUUUUUAGGGUUUUUUUUUAUUUGGCUUCCAGUAAUUUGUAAGGUUUUCUUAAAGGAAGAAAAAGCUUGCAGUUCAUAAGAGAAAUUAACAUUUCAUUGGGCAUCGAAUAGUUUUCAUAAUACUCUUCUUAGUGUAGUCAUGUUUUGGCAAAUCCCAAAUAACCGUUAUCCACAAUACAUGCCCAAGCUGAAAAAUGAAACAAUGGAAACUAAUUAGAGGGUGGGGAAUCAGCUUCUCCCUAAGCUUUCAACAUACUGUUGCUCACUGGUAGUGUCUGAUCUUCACAAACACAUUGUCAUUGGUUUCCCGCAUAGUCACUUGGGCCAUUAAGUGGGAAAACUAUUUUGUUAACUGAAUCGGAAGCCCCAGGACACCAGGCUUGCUUUUCCUCAUGUUGUUUAUCCUGUGUUGGGGAAACAUGGAUAGAUUUUGUUCUUCUUGUUAUUUUUAAGUGAAGGAGUUCAAUAAGAAGGACACUUUUUCUGAUUGUGUGGUCUUAGCUUGAAUUACCAAUUUAUUCCCAUAUGCAUCGUUUUUGCUGCAUCCUUGUGCACAACUGCACCCAGCCCUACAAUGCCCAAUUCCCCAAAUUGUCCAAAUUUGGUGCAUUCUUUAAAGUCUUACUCAAAUGCCACAUCCUUUUUGAAAACCCCUCAGAUCUCUCCCAUCACCCCUCUCCCUUGAGAACAAAAUAAUGUCACCCCUGUCUGAAGUCUCUAAGGACUGUGGGUCUUGGUUGGGCUCCCCCGAGGCAGUCUCAGAGUUAGGGAUUUGUCUGUGAGUGGUUUCUUUGGAAGGGAAUCUCAGGAAGCCUGAUGGUGAUGGAAUGGGGUGGUGAGACCAGGAAAGGAAGGAAGCCAAUGAAAGGAGCCAUCCUAGGCAAUGGAAGCUCCCUUCCCACAGGCAGCUUAGGGUUGUCUCCCCAAGGUGUGAGGAAGGUACACUAAUCACCCCCAAUUUUCAGUUCACCAAUGGCCCAGGGCUGUUCCAGUCAUCAGCUCCCUGACACUUUGACCUGCCAUACUCUAGGGCAGAAGAGAAACCUCUCAGGAAGAAGUUGCAGGACGCUGUUGACAUGAAAAGGAGAUGGUAGGGACAGAAGACAGAUGGUGUCCACUCCAUCAUGUGCAUCUCAUGGCUUUCAUUCCCUUCUCCAAAGCAUCGCCUCUUCUCAAUUCUCAUGUCUUAGAGCACCUGUUUCAUGAGCUUCUGUGAAGGCAGGGAUCCCCUCGCAGCCCAGUGCACCGGAAGUGGCCACCAGAUGCACCUUGGAGGGCUGGCUCUUCCAAGCCUGCAUCCUUCAGGAAAGAUCUGGCAGAGUUUCCGCUAGGUUUUUCUUCAUGGCUUUAUGUCCUUCCCGUCUCCAUGUCUUGCUUCCAAAUGCUGAGUCUCUCCCUUCUUCACUUUGUCACCUUUUCUUUGUUUCCAUCAUCAUUUUGCUCCUUCUUCUCUCCGCGUUUUGACCUGAGAUCCUGACCUCCAUCUAUAUUAAAUUCAGGAUUCAUGGAUAUCCUCCUGCAUUCUUCUCCCCCUGCCUAGAGCCCUUAUAGCGGUCGGAUUUCCAUUUCUCUCUCUUCCAAUCUUGAUUUCCCACUAGCUCAGUGGGCUCUGUAGAUAUCCCAGGAAGCCUGAAUUCUCCCACACAAGCAGAUGUUGAGGGAUCCACGUCCCCUUUGCUUUAGUUGCCAAGGAGCAGAAGACAAAUCUGAAAGCAAAGACAUGAGGACCUGGAGGAAGAGGGCGUUUGUAUCCGUCCACUCGGAUAAAGUCCCUUACUGAUUCUCGCUGGCAUUUGUUACAUUUUAAAGGUAUGUAAAGUGGUUGUGUAAACUGAUUACCCGAAGAAUCUGAAGAUAAGUUUGAAAAUGAACAAGAUAAGACCCUGGCUUCCAUAAUUUUUAACUUCAGCGGUAGUUGGUUGAUUAUUAUCUCUGAGCUCUUCUAUUUUUCUCUUACCUAUGGGUUCCUUUUAGGUGGGUGGCUCUGAAUCAGCGUGUUGUCUGGGAGACUGGAAGACAAUUCUCACAUUUUAGACCAACCUGAGGACCUCAGACAAGAAAGUAUGACUGGGUAUCAGGACAAGGAUAAGACCAAGUUUCAGAAACAAGUGGUAGAGCAGGCUUUUAAUUUUCUUCAUACCCAAAUUCCAAUUGUGAUUCUGGACCUCAAGGACAAUUGGUUUGUCUGUAUUUUAGGUAAUGUUUAAAUCUCAGCCAUUUGGAAGAACUCCUAAGCAAUGUCGACAAUACUCGGUAGUAUAUUCCCUAAGUAUCAUGAAAUUGGUCAUUUCAUAUGAACAUAUUACACUUUGCUUAUGUUACAUUCAUAGUGUGGAAGGAAUUUUGACCUCAAAUGCACCUUUUCUUCAAUACCUCCUGCCCACAUCUACAGACCUGCAAAGAGAUGCCUUUAUAAUGCUAGAGUUAAAUGCCGUGGGUGACAGCGACUGUGACAUGAAUUAAAGACUGGAUCGUGUUAGUGCUCAUCGCAGGGGGAUAGACCUAGAGAAGCCAUUAAUUUCAUCAAUGUCCAGGCUUAUUUUGCCAAAUAAGCUUCUUUAAUAGGGGCUUUUCUUCUUUAAGGACAAGGGAGAAUCAAUCAAAGUGCUUGUGCCGCUUGAGUUUGAAUUUGUAGAGUCUUACGUCUCUCAUAACCCUCACAGGGAUGGUUUUCCUGGGUGCCCUUGCUCUGGUUCAAAAGUUUCAUGUCCCUGCCUCUGACCCGUUGGUCUUAAGAACCAAAGGGAAAAUAAGAGCACGACUCUAGAAAUUGAGCUUUAUUUCUUGCCGUGAGCAUCGCACUGUUAUCUUGGUAAUUAUGGGUUUCCCACAGCAUAUCAAUAAUGCACAGGCUGUCCUAGUCAAUCAAACAAUAACUAAACUAAUAACUUUUAGUCGAGAGUUUCCUAUAAGUCAUCUGCCAUCAAAACAGUCUUUAGAAACCAUCUCAAACAACCUAACAACAUUUCAAUUGUCGUUUAGAUAAUCAAAGAGAAACCACUGUCGACAGGCUUACCCGCUAAUGCAGCCGAAAAUGAACGCAUUGGCAGCAGAUCUGGCUCAUAUUACAGAAUUGUAAUCAUGUGGCUUAGACUGGGUUUGAAAACCUAAAACAGCCAGUGAGUGUUCUUCCAAAAGCGGUGUAGGGUAAGGAGGGUCCUGUCCGGGGACACAUGGCAUACUCAAGUCUUAAAAGGAACUAGUUUCAAAGGUGUGGGAAAGGCAUAGGGAAAGCCCAGGGAAGAGUGCAGGAAUCUGGGUCAAGAAGAAGCAGAAGAGAGGAAGAGUUCCCAGAAUCUUGAGGAUAAAGGGCGAGAAGGGGCACCUGUCAAGAGGGCUGUGGCUAACCUCCCUCUGCUCUCGUACUCUGCCCCUCUACUUGUGUAUCCUAACUUCUUGAUUGAUUGGAAACCAGAGUGAAGGGAGUCUUUUGAUGCUACCCAUCCAAGUCACUUUCUAGGAGCUCAGAGCCGGGUGGAGAAAGGUGGACUGGGUCAUUGUGGAUCAGGAGGGUAAGCAGGAGAUGGUCAUCCAACCACUUUUCACGUGGCUGUUUGCUUUUUGUUUAUUCCCUCAUUUUUGCUUGUGUACAUAGAAGGAAUGUCAUUGUUGAACUGGCGUUCAGAAGUCAAAACUUCAUGUACUAUUAUGAAAAGGGUUAAUAGCGACAGUGGUCUCAACUUGUCUGAAUCCAGUUAACUACCAUAUGAAGUUCGUUCUUCUUUUUAACUCUGGGGAGAUUAACGAAAUGCCAUCCUUUAUGUUCAAACUGUUAGUCUCCGUAGGAUGGUUUUUAUAAUUUCUUUGAACUCAUCUUUUGCUGGAUGUUCCUGCUUUUUCACUUAGAGAACCAUCUCUCAUGAAAAGGCAUUUAAUGAGAGACCGUUCAUAUUCACCUCAUUUUUGUCAGGGGUACAGAUUUGAAGGAACAUCAAUUACUUUCAUAGAAUCAGUUUCCUUUUCUUUGAUAUCAAAAUACCCUCUACCUCUUAAAAGAUGAACUUACAUGAUAUACUAUCUGAAGAAAUUACAGAUAAAUGAAAGUCAGCCAUUCUUUAAAUAACAACUAGAUCUCCUAAACAUGCAAUUUCAUAGUGGGGUUUCUUGAUCUCAAUCGUUGUAGCAAUGAAAAAUUACCUCAAAUCAUUUUAAAGGUUUACAGAAUGCAUCUUUAGUAGAGAAUUUUAAAAAGAAAGCAUUUUAGAGAUUGAAACAUCUUUCAAUUUCAUGUCAUGCAAAACUUUGAGAGCACAUAUUUUGUGGAAAUGUUCCCCCAUUCCCUAGCAAAGGGCUCUGGGCUGAGGUAGUUUGGGACCCAAGUACGUUAUACCGCCCUCCUACAGAGCUCCAACCUUCUGGGGUAAACGAGUGGAACAUGAUGCAUCGACGUUUGACUAUAACUUCAGAUCGUGAGCUACAGUAUUUUGAAACAUAUAUGGUUUAUUAUAAAUACAGUUGGAGAAAGUUGUCUGAUGUAUUUGAAUAGUUACUUUUUUUUUUUGCACUCUUUUAAGCUUCUCUCGUAUAGUAAGGUAUGGUAUAAUUUAGAAUCAUUAAGAUGUUGUUUCUAACCCAGACUUGAUCGCUUACUGGCUAAAUGAACAUCCAACAAGUUUCAAAUCUCUAGGUCUUUUUAUUCAUCUGCAAAAUAGAAAUUAUUCUUCUUAUGUAUAUUAGUUUUCAGACUGUCUCUCU